AUGAAACCAAGUUUCUCGGAUUAGUAAUAGACUCAAAACUAUGUUGGAAACCACAUAUCGAUAACGUAAAAAGAAAAAUAGCCAAGACCGUAGGGAUCCUCGACAAAACCAAGGAAGUGCUAAAUAAGAGAUCUUUGUACACAUUAUACACUUCAUUAUUAUUACCAUAUAUGACCUACUGUGUGGAAAUAUGGGGAAAUGCCUGCAAAACAAACACACUCCCUAUUCUCAAACUAUAAAAAAAAGCAAUUCGAAUUAUUAAUAGAUCAAAAUAUACGGAACCCACAAAUCCACUAUUUAUCAAAUUAAAUACAAUGAAAUUUUAUGACCUGGUUGACUUUAAAAUCGUCCAAUUAAUGUACAAAGCACACAAUAACCUGCUCUGCCAAAACAUUCAGAAGUUUUUCAAAAUUCGAGAAAGCAACUAUGAAUUAAGAGGUACCAACUUAUUCAAAAAACUCAAAACAAGAACAAACAUCAAGCAAAGAAGUGUAUACAGCAAAGGGGUUAAUCUGUGGAAUAAUCUCGAAACGGACCUAAAAAUGAGUAAAUCGCUUGAGUUCAAAAACAAAUUCAAAAAAAUACAAACAACCUACAUCAAUCAGAAUUAAAAUGAUAAAUUCUAAACAUUAAAUAUAAUGAUAAAUCAGAACUAAGUUGAUAAAUAGAGAAAGGUAUUGAAAUAUCCAUUAUGAAUACAAGAGAAAAUUGACACAAGAGUGCCAGGGUGAGGAUGUAUAUAAUCCCGAUACAAACCAAAAGUGUAAAAAUAUCACAGUUAAGGGUAAAGUAUGAGCCUUAAUGGAGACUUCUUCUUACUUUUUCUUUUCUGAUCGAUAUAAAAAUGAUUUAGUAGAUAUAAACACAUAAAGGGGUAGGACUAGAUAAGUUUUUUACUUCAUCCUACUCCCUUGAACAUAAUAACUGUGUUGAAUGAAGACUGAUUUCGUUCUUUUUACUUUUUUAUCUACCUUAUUUUCUGUCAAAUUAUUACUGUAUAUGUUUUAUGUUCAAUAAACAAACAAACAAACAAAUCACAUCAUCCAUCCAUCCCCCCCUUUUCUGAAGCGCUUUAUCCUCAGAAGGGUCGUGGUGCGUGCUGGAGCCUAUUCCAGCUGUCUUCGGGCAGUAGGCGGGGGACACCCUGAACCAGUUGCCAGCAAAUCGCAGGGCACACAGAGACGAACAACCAUCCGCGCUCUUACUCACACCUAGGGACAAUUUAGAGUGUUCAAUCAGCCUGCCAUUCAUGUUUUGGGAAUUUGGGAGGAAAUUGGAUUACCCAGAAAAAACCCACGCAGGAGAACAUGCAAGCUCCACACAGGGAGGCUGGAGCCGGGAUCAAACCCACGACCUCUGAACUGUGAGGUUGACAUGCUAACCACUGGUCUACCGGGCCACCACUUUCAUAUUAUUCUUUUGUAUUUUAUUGACUUAUAUAUUGGCUUUUAUUAUGAAUGAGUUGAUCGUGUUCAUGAUUCCUGACAAUGAAGAUACGGAUAAACCCCAAUAUGUAACACUUGAUUUCAAAAAAUCUCUGUCAGUAUUUACAUUUUCAAAUGAACACUUCCACAGCAUUUGGAGAAAUUCACUCAAAUCAUGUCCCAUCACUCGUGGUGGAACAGCCCGGCGAAGGACUCAUGUGGUCCUUGGGGGCUACGUAGUACCGACGAACGCCACAUUACAGAGCCCUCAUUGUGCACCUGCCUGCUUGGCCCAUCUCGGAGGCGGCAACUCAGAGUGGAAGAGAGUCAAUCCCGUUCCAGAAGACUGGUCGUUUGGAAUAGAUGAGCAGAGUCUAAGUGAGACACCAGACUGGGUGAUCGGACGUUCCUGCUUUCAAUUUGCCAAUCAAUGGGAUGAUAAGUGCAGCUGUGGCGGAAAGGAGACGUUGCACUAUUUCAAUUGCUCACCUCCAUCCGUCAAGUUAGUUACUCUAGUGUGCCUAUUGUUUCUUUUCUCCAUUUUACAGGAAAAUCUGAUCUUGAUUUCUUUUUUUGAGGGUCCGAUUUGAUAUUACCGUAUUGGCCCGAAUAUAAGACGGUGUUUUUUGCAUUGAAAUAAGACUGAAAAAGUGGGGGUCGUCUUAUAUUCGGGGUCUAGACAGUAUACUAGUGAUGGGUCCAGCGACACCGAUGCAUUGACACAUGCGCCGGGCUCACACUGGCUCAUUACGUCACGUGAUUGACACGUGAACUGCGUUGACACAGUCCAGGCUUCGAAUUGACACACCGGCUGCGUUGACACAGUCCAGGCUGCUAAUUGACACAUCGACUGUGUUGACACAGUCCAGGCUGCUAAUUGACACGUGAACUGCACCUGCAUCGGCUGCUUGGCACAGUACAGGCUGCGCCACUUAGUCCAGGGGGCGUCGACUCAGUGCAGAGGGCGUUGACGCAGCAAAAGCCCGCCACACAGUGUUUAUAAGGAACACCUGCCGAAACAAGCCAGACCUCACUCACGCUCGCUUGUCGAAGCUCGUGUCAGUGCAGACUUUGUGUUCGUGCCUUGCCUUCCUUGCCGAUUAUGGAGCAGAGACGCUAAUCAUCCGCCGUGUGGGACCAUUUUGAUGUCCUGGAGAAUAAGGUGAAAUGUCGAAUUUGCCAAGUCAAUUCGCCAACAGAAGCACCUCCACCAUGCUGAGGCAUUAUCGGGCCAAGCAUGAGAAUGAAGUUCGCGAUACACCCGGUAUUACGCCAGGUUCCAGGAAGCAGCUGUACUGGAAGGACCAACACACUUCUUUCCCAAACCUCUCCCACCUCGCAAAGGAGUUCCUUUGUACGCCAGUCACAUCCGUCCCUUGUGAGCGUGUGUUCUUCACAGCAGGAGAAAUUGCUUGUAAAAGACGCAACAGGCUGAAGUUUAAAACAUUGGAGCAUCUUAUUUUUCUCAAUAAAAAUGUGAAAUCAAAGCCCACAAGCAUCCUCAUUCAAAUGGUCUUCACAUUAUUUGAACACAUUGAAUGUUGCAAAAUGAAUGCAUGGAUGUGAAUAUUGUAUACACUUCAUCAAAUCGAUGAAUGACCUUAUGAAAAUGUCUUGGAACAGUUGUAGAUGCAAAACCGUGCUGGCAGCUACAUAAUAGAUAAUAAAAGAAAAAUAUCCCAAACCAUAGGGAUCCUCCCAAAACUAAGGAUGUGCUGAAUAAGAAAUCCUUGUACACACUUCUAUUACUUCCAUAUUUGACCUAUUGUGUGGAAAUAUGGGGAAAUGCCAGUAAAACACUGUUUUAAAACUACAAUACAAAGCAAUCAGAACAAUCACUGGCUCCAAAUAGACGGAACCCACAAAUCCACUGUUUAUCAAAUUAAACAAUGAAAUCUCAUGACCUGGUUGACUUCAAAAUCGCCCAAUUAAUGUACAAAGCACACAAUAACCUCCUUUGCCAAAACAUCCAGAAGCUUUUUAAAAUUCGAGAAAGUUGUCAUAAUUUAAGGGGUACUAAAAUCCAAAACACGAACAAACAUCACGCAAAGGAGUGUAUCUGUAAUAGGUGUAAAUCUGUGGAAUGAUUCUGAAACGGACCAGUAAAAUGAGUAACUCUCUUGCUGAGAUUAAAAAUGAAUUUGAGAGUAGUACAAGACAACUACACAAAUCAGAAUUAAGCUAAUAAAUUCGAUA